AUAAAUAGGAUGAGGAUCCGAACUUGGCCAUAACAGAAAUGAGAUUUUUUGUUUUCUUUUAUUUGGUCAUGUUCAUGAACAUUUCUGACCAGCGUCUAGAAUGAACUGACCCGAACGUUAAAACUAGGAUGGAUUAAAAGUACAUACGUUUUGGGAACCAAAAGAAAAUAUUUAAGAAAAUUUUAAAAAUGUCAAAAUAUUUGUAAGCUUACGCUUGUAUAUGUUAUUAAAACAAAACGCAAUGUUAAACUUUAUGGCCUCAUGAGAUCGCAAAGACCUUCCUUCAGGGAACAAGUACCAGGAUAAAGAAGAAGGAAAGACAGAGAAAGCGAUGGGAAGGCAACAUAAAAGAAUGGAUGGGCCUGUUAUUGAAAGAGAUUCCAUUCAAUGCAAAAGACGGAGAGUAAUGGAGAAAGACAGUAAACAGAUCCUGUGUGGGGCCCUAUCGGUUCAGAGAACAAUGACUAAUUGUGGCCCAGUCUCAACGUACUCCGAGAAUGGGAGGUGGAAGAAAUAACGUGUUGAAAAUUUGUACAAGACAGAAAGACAAGAGCAGGGCCGGUCCUACAGGUUGCGGGGCC
rnacentral:sRNA from 1 species